rnacentral:misc_RNA from 1 species
GAUGAAGAACGCAUCGAAAUGCGAUAAGUAAUGUGAAUUGCAGAAUUCAGUGAAUCAUCGAAUCUUUGAACGCACAUUGCGCCCCCUGGUAUUCCGGGGGGCAUGCCUGUUCGAGCGUCAUUUCACCACUCAAGCCUCGCUUGGUAUUGGGCAACGCGGUCCGCCGCGUGCCUCAAAUCGACCGGCUGGGUCUUCUGUCCCCCAAGCGUUGUGGAAACUAUUCGCUAAAGGGUGUUCGGGAGGCUACGCCGUAAAACAACCCCAUUUCUAAGGUUGACCUCGGAUCAGGUAGGGAUACCCGCUGAACUUAAGCAUAUCAAUAAGCGGAGGA